UCGAUUAGAGUUUGAUCCUGGCUCAGGACGAACGCUGGCGGCGUGCCUAAUACAUGCAAGUCGAGCGGAUUGAUGGGAGCUUGCUCCCUGAUAUCAGCGGCGGACGGGUGAGUAACACGUGGGCAACCUGCCUGUAAGACUGGGAUAACUUCGGGAAACCGGAGCUAAUACCGGAUAAUCCAUUCCCUCUCAUGAGGGAAUGCUGAAAGAUGGUUUCGGCUAUCACUUACAGAUGGGCCCGCGGCGCAUUAGCUAGUUGGUGAGGUAACGGCUCACCAAGGCGACGAUGCGUAGCCGACCUGAGAGGGUGAUCGGCCACACUGGGACUGAGACACGGCCCAGACUCCUACGGGAGGCAGCAGUAGGGAAUCUUCCGCAAUGGACGAAAGUCUGACGGAGCAACGCCGCGUGAGUGAUGAAGGCCUUCGGGUCGUAAAGCUCUGUUGUUAGGGAAGAACAAGUAUCGGAGUAACUGCCGGUACCUUGACGGUACCUAACCAGAAAGCCACGGCUAACUACGUGCCAGCAGCCGCGGUAAUACGUAGGUGGCAAGCGUUGUCCGGAAUUAUUGGGCGUAAAGCGCGCGCAGGCGGUUCCUUAAGUCUGAUGUGAAAGCCCACGGCUCAACCGUGGAGGGUCAUUGGAAACUGGGGAACUUGAGUGCAGAAGAGAAGAGCGGAAUUCCACGUGUAGCGGUGAAAUGCGUAGAGAUGUGGAGGAACACCAGUGGCGAAGGCGGCUCUUUGGUCUGUAACUGACGCUGAGGCGCGAAAGCGUGAGGAGCAAACAGGAUUAGAUACCCUGGUAGUCCACGCCGUAAACGAUGAGUGCUAAGUGUUAGAGGGUUUCCGCCCUUUAGUGCUGCAGCAAACGCAUUAAGCACUCCGCCUGGGGAGUACGGCCGCAAGGCUGAAACUCAAAGGAAUUGACGGGGGCCCGCACAAGCGGUGGAGCAUGUGGUUUAAUUCGAAGCAACGCGAAGAACCUUACCAGGUCUUGAAUCCUCUGACCUCCUAGAGGACGUUCCCCUUCGGGGGACAGAUGA
rnacentral:rRNA from 1 species